GCCUAAGAAAGAAAGUCGAACGAGAAAGCGGGGGCAACCUCGCGAGUAAAGUGCCCUACGGGUGAGUAACACAUGGGUAAUCUACCUCAUAGUGGGGAAUAACCCUGGGAAACCGGGGCUAAUACCGCAUAAGCUCGAGAGAGGAAAGCAGCAAUGCACUGGAAGAGGAGUCCGCGGCCGAUUAGCUAGUUGGCAGGGUAAGAGCCUACCAAGGCAGAGAUCGGUAGCCUGCCUGAGAGGGCACACGGCCACACUGGCCCUGAAACACGGGCCAGACUCCUACUGGUUUUUACAGUGGG
rnacentral:misc_RNA from 1 species